UACAGAGGUCUCAAGCGUUGUUCGGAUUCACUGGGCUUAAAGGGCGCGUAGGCGGGCUGCCAAGUCCGGGGUGAAAUCUUUCGGCUCAACCGGAAAAGUGCCUUGGAAACUGGCGGCCUCGAGGGGGGUAGGGGCCUGUGGAACUUCGGGUGGAGCGGUGAAAUGCGUUGAUAUCCGAAGGAACGCCGGUGGCGAAAGCGACGGGCUGGACCCCUUCUGACGCUGAGGCGCGAAAGCCAGGGGAGCAAACGGG
rnacentral:rRNA from 1 species